rnacentral:rRNA from 2 species
UUGGUGCCAGCAGCCGCGGUAAUUCCGGCUCCAAUAGCGUAUAUUAAAGUUGUUGCAGUUAAAAAGCUCGUAGUUGAAUUUCGGGGUUAGUAGGUUGGUCAUGCCUCUGGUAUGUACUGGUCUCACUGAUUCCUCCUUCCUGAUGAACCUUAAUGCCAUUAAUUUGGUGUUUUGGGGAAUUUGGACUGUUACUUUGAAAAAAUUAGAGUGUUUAAAGCAAGCUAACGCUUGAAUACAUUAGCAUGGAAUAAUGAAAUAGGACGUUCGAUCCUAUUUUGUUGGUUUCUAGGAUUGACGUAAUGAUUAAUAGGGAUAGUUAGGGGCAUUAGUAUUCAAUUGUCAGAGGUGAAAUUCUUGGAUUAGAUUGAAGACUAACUACUGCGAAAGCAUUUGCCAAGGAUGUUUUCAUUAAUCAAGAGACGAAAAGUUAGGGGAUCGAAGACGAUCAGAUACCGUCGUAGUCUUAACCAUAAAACUAUGCCGAACUAGGGAUCGGAUGAUGUUAAUUUUUUAAUGACUCA